rnacentral:sRNA from 1 species
UUCUUAACUUCGUUCCUUUUCCUUCACGAACCCCCCAAUUUAUUUUCGGGUGCUAAUUAAUUACGGAAAAGAAGAAAGAAAGAAGGAAGGCGGCAAUGAAGUAGGGGAGGAGAAGCAAUGAGAGAUUAUAAGAAUUGUUCUUUAUUUGUUACCAACGCUGUUUAUUACUUUCAUAAGUUCCUUUCUACACCUGCGAUUUGGGAGUUGAGUGUAUUCCCGUCUUUGAGAAAGGCAUGAUGGUUGGUUGAGCAGACACCAAGCAAGUUAUUCUUGUUCUUUUCUCUUUACUUAUUUAUUUUGUCUUUUCUUUUCUCCAAUAGAAGACAAGGAAAAGUUGAUGCUGAUAUGCCUUAUGGGUUCCCCCGUGCUGUAGUCUACCUUCUUGUGUACUCUACUACAUGCGUAUAUGUGUACUGUGUCUGAUGGCACAUUGAAUCAGAUUCUUUUGUGGUGCGUAUGUGUAAUAUUUAUUGCUCCCUCUUUUCUUUCCUGGAAACGCUUUGAUGUAUGUGUAUUGCCGGGAAAUUGUUGCAAUCCGUCGGUUACUUCGUUGAGCACAGUGCACAAACCUCCAUUAUUUAUCAGGAAGCAUCCGUACAUAGUAAAAUAAACCCUGGAACUGGGGACACAGACGGUUAGGCAAUUAACUCAAUCCAGUCUAACACAACCAAGGGCAUCAAAAAGACUGAAAUCGUCCAAGCAUCAUGUCUCCACCCAUUAUGCAAGGCAGUAGUGUUGACAGCACACUUCGCGGAGCUUAUACCGCCUCCCCAACCAUGUACAUGCUAUACGGUCGAGGAUGUGUCGCCUCCCUCCCCACGGUUAUCGCCAAUCUGGGCGCUUCAAAGGCGUUUAUCAUCACGGGCAAAUCUCUCCGCGAGAAAACGCCAGUGAUCAGUCGCAUAGAAGAGAUAUUGGGUGAAACGCAUCACGCCGGCACGUAUAGUGGGGUGCGAGAGCAUGUGUGGGGUUUUUUUUUUUUUUUUUUUUUUUUUUUUUUUUUGGUUCUUUCUUUCCUGCUUUUUCCAUUGCCCUUCUCUCGCCCUCCGCCAUCUUCCAACAUCCAGGAACUUAACCUCUCUAUUGUUCAUAUAUACAUAAAGAAUCGGCACAGGAGAUAAACAGCAACACUUAAUUACUAACAACCAAUAUUCCCAGAAUAGCCCCAUAGCAGACAUCGAAGCCGCUGUCGCUGCCGUUAGGAACUCUGGUGCUGACGUGCUGCUCUCCGUUGGCGGCGGGUCGCCCAUCGAUGCUGCUAAAGCUGUUGCAUAUCGUUUGCACAAAGCAAGGGGUAAUCAGGGACAGGGCAAGGAGGAAGCGAAAUGGAUACCCAGCAUUGCAGUGCCGACCACAUUAAGCGUGGCAGAGACCACGAAGAAUGCGGGGUUUACCAAUGCAGAUGGGAGUAAGGUGGGGGUUGCAGAUAGGGAGUUAGUGCCGAAGGCGGUGCUCUACGACGGGGACAUCGCACUCCAUACACCCCUACGAUUAUGGCUCAGUAGCGCCAUCCGCGCUCUCGACCAUGCCCUCGAACUCCUCUACAACCCUUCCGCCCCUGAAGUCCCAACGAAGCGCUUAGCCCUCUCCGCCCUCACUGACCUCUUCACCCUCCUCCCUCAGUGCCUCACCAACCCCCAAGAUGCAGAUAUCCGCCAGCGCCUUUUCCUCGGCAGCUACGCGGCCCUCUUUCCCUUCCAGUUCUCUGGCGCUCUGGGCAUUAGCCAUGCGAUUGGCCAUGCUAUUGGGUCGACCUACGGCAUUCCACAUGGGAUCACGUCGUGUAUUAGUUUGGGGAAGGUGAUUAGGUUUAUGGCGGAAAAGGCGAGGGAGGGUGCUGGUGGUGAGGGGUGGGGAAUUGGGGAGGCCGGGGAGGCGGCGCAGAUUGCGAGGGCGGUUGCCUAUAUUCCUGGGUUGAGAGGGACUGGAGAUGUAGCGAGGGAUGCGCUUUUGGUGGCGGAGGCAGUGGAGGGGUUGGUUUUGAAGCUGGGAUUGGUGACUGGGUUGGUUGACUAUAAUGUCGGACCUGGCGGGGAGGAGGCUAUUGCAGUCCGUGCGUUACGAGAUCCGGCACAUCCUGAUUUGAAGAGUGUUACUGAGUUAGUUCGAACAAUGUACUCAUCCCAAUCCCCCCCCCCUUCUGAUGCUACUACACGCCUAUAGGUAUAGCACGCGUGUGGAUUGGAUCCGGGAAUAUGAUUGCAGAGUGUCGCAUGGUGUGCAUAUUCUGUCGUUGAAAUUUGGCUGAACGAAUGAACGGAAGAACUUGACCUGUCUGCGUUUGGGAAUAUAGUCAAGGCUCCAUACACAACUUCUACCUUCGACUGAGUCAUUCUAUGCGCAAUUCAAAUAGGGUAUCUAAAUGUAUAUCUCCGUCUGUAAUAUGUCGUCCCACCGCCGAAACCAACAAGUCAAACUCUCUCCCAUACCCUCCAACCUCUAUCCUCAAACAUAUUUUCACCCACCCGACCUACCCAUAUAGCAACUCCUCAACCAUCUCCCCAAUCGCCAGCGCACUCGUCAGCCCAGGACUCUCAAUCCCCAAUAAAUUCACAAACCCCUCAAAACAUUCCUCCUCCCUAAUCACAAAAUCCCUAAACGCGCCCCUAUCCUCACCCUCCUUCACAGCCAACUUCGGCCUAACCCCACAAUAAUCCAACCCAAUCGCCUCUGGCCGCACGCCAGGCAAAUACUCCUGAAUUUCCCUUACAGCCUCCUCGAGCCUCCCCACGCGCGGCACCAGAUCCUCUGGCCCAUCAACCCACUCCACAUCCGGACCAAAACGUACUUGGCCCGUCAUAUCUAGCGUGAGAUGCGUGCCCAAUCCGCCCAGCCCUGGCUUGGGAGCCGGGUAAAGCAGGGUGCGCGGCUUGGGGCUGGAUGCGGAGUAGGAGAAAUAUGUCCCCUUUGCGUAUGCUGGCCGGACGUGGCGGUCAGAUGGCAGUA